GACGAACGCUGGCGGCGUGCUUAACACAUGCAAGUCGAACGGAAAGGCCCUGCUUUUGUGGGUUGCUCGAGUGGCGAACGGGUGAGUAACACGUGAGUAUCCUGCCCUUGACUUUGGGAUAAAUUCAGGAAACUGGGGCUAUUACCGGAUAGGAGCUCCUGCUGCAUGGUGGGGGUUGGAAAGUUUCGGCGGUUGGGGAUGUACUCGCGGCUUAUCAGCUUGUUGGUGUAGUAGUGGCUUACCAAGGCUUUGACGGAUAGCCGGCCUGAGAGGGUGACCGGGCACAUUGGGACUGCGAGACGGACCAGACUCCUACGGGAGGCAGUAGUGGGGAAUAUUGCGCAAUGGGCGGAAGCCUGAUGCAGCAACGCCGCGUGCGGGAUGACGGCCUUCGGGUUGUAAACCGCUUUCGCCUGUGACGAAGCGUGAGUGACGGUAAUGAGUAAAGAAGCACCGGCUAACUACGUG
rnacentral:rRNA from 1 species